GAGGGUAUAGCUCAGAGUUAGAGUGCGGUGCUUAACAUGCACAGCAUGCACAAGGUCCUGGGUUCAAUCCCCAGUACCUCUA
rnacentral:tRNA from 1 species